rnacentral:tRNA from 1 species
GAUGCAGUGGCCCGAAUGGUAUGGCGCUGGAUUGCAAAUCCAGAAAAUGCGGGUUCGAACCCCGCCUGCAUCUCCA